UACGUAGGGGGCGAGCGUUGUCCGGAUUUAUUGGGCGUAAAGGGCGCGUAGGCGGCUUGUUAAGUCUGGUGUGAAAGCCCGAGGCUCAACCUCGGUAAGCACUGGAAACUGGCGAGCUUGAGUACUGGAGAGGGUCGUGGAAUUCCCAGUGUAGCAGUGAAAUGCGUAGAGAUUGGGAGGAACACCAGUGGCGAAGGCGGCGACCUGGACAGAUACUGACGCUGAGGCGCGAAAGCUGGGGGAGCAAACGGG
rnacentral:rRNA from 1 species